rnacentral:rRNA from 1 species
UGAGUAACCUGCCCUUAACUCUGGGAUAAGCCUGGGAAACUGGGUCUAAUACCGGAUAUGACUCCUCAUCGCAUGGUGGGGGGUGGAAAGCUUUUUGUGGUUUUGGAUGGACCCGCGGCCUAUCAGCUUGUUGGUGAGGUAAUGGCUUACCAAGGCGACGACGGGUAGCCGGCCUGAGAGGGUGACCGGUCACACUGGGACGGUGAGACACGGCCCAGACUCCUACGGGAGGCAG